rnacentral:misc_RNA from 1 species
UUUAGUGAAAGGCCGAGGUGGGUCCUUGUUGAGAGAGAAAAUGAUAGAGGGCGCUUGCAAGAAGUUUGUGGUUAUUGUUGAUAAGUCUAAAAUGGUGAAAUAUAUUAAGGAUAGUGGGUUAGCUAUGCCCGUUGAAAUUGUGCCGUUUUGUUGGAAAUUCAUUACCAAGAGGUUGCAGGAGUUGUUUGGGUACGCAGGUCGUGUGGCCAAGCUGAGGAGUAAGGGUUCUAAUGGCAAGGAGAACGGUGGGGAACCAUUUGUUACCGAUAAUGGGAAUUAUAUUGUGGAUUUGUACUUCAAAAGAGAUAUUGGUAGUUUGAAAGCUGCAAGUAAUGCAAUUUUGAGGCUGGCAGGUGUUGUUGAGCAUGACAUGUUUCUUGAUAUGGCAAAAACAAUCAUUGUUGCAGGGGAACUUGGGAUCACCAUCAAGAAUAAGCAUAAGUAGUGCUCGGUGAUGGAGAUGAGAUGGAAAUGGAGGUAGUUUUGCUGGAUUGAUAUAUUUCGGAAUUACUUUAACAUUUCUAAUGAUUCCUGAUCAAAUUAGGUCAUUAGUUCGAGAGGGAAGGGAUAUUUUAGUUUCUUUGCAUGAAUUUUAUAAUUUAUAUGAUUUAUGACGAGGGUCUCCUCAAAUUAUGGUAUUAUGUAUCAAGAUGAAAGUCUUAAUUUGCAAAAGAAAAUUAGUUUUGUUUUGGGGCAGCUUGGUGAUUAUACUUAUGUAUGUCAGCUGCAGCUGAUAUGAUGAUUUAUUCAAUGUAAACCUUACUUCACUAUUAAUUCAAAUCUCCAUCUUUUUUGGAUCUGCUACUAUCUCUUUCGUAAAUUGCCUCUGGGCGCAAAUAUUUUUUGAUGCAUAGGACCUAGUUUUGGUUGAUGCAAUUAGUACUUUAUUUUUGUUCAAUAUGUCUGUUGAAUAGGAGGUAGUAAGGUAUCGUUAGCAAUCAAAUUUUGUGCUAUAGUUAGCAAUUCUUCACCCAUGAUGAUGAAGGGGGCAGCUAUUCCCUGAGCUUCAAGAUGGAACAAAUAGUAGUAGGGUAAGCUUUGCGUCUUUACUUGUACCUUGUGCGGUUUCUAAAUGCUUCAUAGUGCUAAUGAAGCAUCAGGUUUUUCUAUACUUGCAGUAGCUUUCCUAGUUUAUAUGAAUAAUAAGCAUUAACACAAGCAUACUUCACUUGAGCAGGAGUAAGGUACUUAGCAUCCCAGUUACUCAUAGUCACACGCUUUGGCUUUUCCAAUUCUUCCCCAAUAAUAGUCUCCACCAGAGUCUUCAAUCCGGAUCUCCUAAAUUCCUUGUGAUCAAUUGCUUGUGCAACUAGACUUGCAAUAUCUGCUUCACGAGAUGUCUCCAAGUCAUGGUCCUUGGAAAGCUUCUUUGUGUCACCGGAUAUACGAACUCCAGUGUAGAUGAUGUUAGGAUUACUGAGGGCGUUGCAGAGGGACCAAGGAAUGCAGGUAGCUUGGUAAAUUUGGAAGAUGAGGCGGCAUUUGCGGAUGCAGAGUUGGAGUAUUCCCACCGGAUUCUGGCUGCUGCCGCGUAUGAAAGUUGGACGCCAAUCUAUGUCAAGGCCAACAAUUUUCUGGUGAUGGUGGCAUGGAGCUUGAAGGUGGCCUUUGAUCCACCAGUCUACCACAGUCCGUGAGGAGGUAACCGUGGCCUGGACAAGGCGGUGGUGGAUGGUGACUAGGUAUUUCUGGGUUUUAGUGCCACAGCAAAGUUCUUCAGUGGUGACCCCAUGUUUGAUGUUUCAGGAUUCACAGAACAAGGAAAGAGAGAGGGUAGAGGAUAGUGAAGUUGAAGAGAUUGGAAAUGGAAUAUCCAAUAUAGUGAAUGGAAGAAAAGGUGUGUGUGAGGAGUGAGGACAAUAGGACGUAAUUAAAGUAGCAAUAAUGGAGCUAAGGAAAGCAUCAGUU